CGCGCCAAUUUCUUCUCCAAUUCUACUCGAGUGAUUUCGUCGUCGAGGAAAAGUUCGUUUCUUAAUUUAUUAAGCGUAUACAUCGUUUUCUCUCUCUUUUUCCCAUAGUUUUUUCGGAUAUCCUCGUAUGCACCUUUCCUCGCGUAUUAAAAGCGUCAAAACGUUCGUCAUGAUCGAUUCCCAUCGAAACGAUCACUUACUUAUUACCCGUCACGCGAGCGUUAACAGUUGCCAACCUCUCACCGCAUCGUACACGAUGUCGAACGCACGCUAUCUCGACGCACCAUCCGCCGAACACCAUCCCAUUAGCACCAUCUUAUAAUAAUAAUCGGAUCCUUAAUUAUCGUUUCCAAAUUUAUCCGAAAAACGAUCGACGAUAACCCGGCUUAUAUGACGGCUUACCGUUAAAUGACUUUCGCACUUUCACUCCAUUACGAUCGAUCGUUCUAAUUAAAUUCCCUACAAUAGAUGUAGAUGUGCGUUCGAACUUUUGUCGAUUGCCGACAUUCGCGUGAAAGGGAUCGAGCGUUCCUCGAGAAACCUGAAAAUCGACAUCGAUAAUUUCACGGUGGCGAGUUCGCAGCGGGGAAUUUAUAUAUACAGAGAGAAAGAGAGAGAGAGAGAGAGAGAGUGAACAACGUGGCUUUAAUUAUUACGCGAGAUCGAGACCGGAGAACGAUCGACACGAGAUAUCUGCUUCCUGCAAAAAUGAUGAUAACCGUGGCCGUCUAAUUAUACGCGUGUGCAGGCAGGCUGCGAAUUUCGUGGAAAAAGGCAGGUGAUUGGUUUGACGGGGCGCAAAUGAGUUGUGGAUACCGUGUGCACGCUCGUACGAGUUUCUUCGCCGCUCUGUUCGAGUUUGCUCGGGCAUCUUACGGGUGGACGGAGCGUCGAGAGCGUGAAUCGCUUUAUUAAGUCUUAGAGAGACUCGUUUCGUUCGAAGACUAGCGAUCUCGAUGGACCGGACGCGUUACAAGGUUCAUGUUGAAAGGGCGAAUGGAUUUUGUUGCAUGUUAGAUGUUACUCGAAUUACGAGAUUAACUGGUUGGUAAAGUCGUGAAUAUAUAUAUAUAUAUCGCGGGGUUUUUUUUUCGUGCGAGCAUUAAUUAUUCAACUUGUUGCAAUUUAUUUUAAAGGCCAAAAAUAGACGACAGGUCAUUUAUAUUGGAAAUCAAAUAAAAUGAAUUAAUACGCGAGAGUCGUAAUUAUUUGAAGAUCGUGAUAAAGGUUAUAGGCGUUUUUUUCUAUUUAUAUUUUUUAAUAUUGUACGUCUAUUUUGUUUGUUUUUUAGUUACCGGUUUUAGAUUAUAAUGGCGAUAUUAAGAAAAUACAUUUGAAGGAGCGAAGUUAUUGAAACGACUUAUUGCAUUUAAUCGUGUCCGUUUUCUUCUCCUUUUGCCACGUUUUUACGCUUAGCUACAUUUCAGCAAUUCUAGCGAGGUCGAACGUUGCACGAAACAGGUGCGUGGACGCAUACACGUCAAUGACAGGUGGUAAUCAAUCGGAAGAUUUAUUCGACGACGCGGCCGGCCAACGUUUAGAAUCGCGCCAGCUUUUCUAAUUAGUCGGUGCAAACUAGGCGAGCAUGAAGUAGAAUCAUCGCCGGUUACGAAGCGAAACGGUACAAUUAUCGAGUUUGAUGAUUAGAUGUGACUAUUUACAACGCUUGUUUUAAUAUGGAUUUAUGAUAUCGUGUCGUAAAUCGAUAAUCAAUAGCUUAAAUUGCGAAAGUAAAAAAAGGUAGAAUUGAUUUUUAAUCAGAUUGUAGCAUCACGAAUCUAUCUAUGAUAAAGUUUUAAAGUAUUCGACAACAGUGUUGUUUGUAUAGUUUUUCGUUCUAGAGAUAAAUUUAAGUCAAACGUUAUCUUAAAUCGUUAAAAAAAAGGAGGGCGGGGAGACGAGAGAAGGAAAAAACUUACCAAGGCUGAGAGAAACACAUAUCCACUUAAGCCUGGCGAGUUAAUUACUUCCAAACGUACAUCAAAACGUAUAUUCGCGUGACAGUCACGGAAGUGAACAAAUCGAACAAGUAUAUACAUAUGUAAAUAGCACAACGUGUCGAACUUUUCACGUAGGACGUUCGAGAUAUCCUGUCCGCGUAAGAGUGCACGUUCGUUUCGAAGUGCGUAACACGCUGACGCAGUCUCGCACGUGGGCCGACUUUAAGAUAUCAGUACAAUCCUGCGAUGCACGGGGUGCCUUCGUGUAACAGGAUAACCGAGCCAGCUACCGAUUCGCCAUUGUCGUGCAAGUUUAUCUCAUACAACCUUAUACGAUUUCGUGCGAUAAAUAAAUAUCCGAAAUUCAAUUUUAUUUCACUCGCGAUACAUACGUGUCGUUUAUGAAAUUUAACGUUUUCGAAAGUGCGCAUGCGUGAAUCGAGAAAAUUAGUAUGGCGUCUUUUAACGUUUCUAACAACUCGUGCGUGGGUGAGAAUAAGUGUUUUUGAAAGUUUGUGAGAAAGAGUGGGUGCAGCAGAUCUUAGACUUUCUUUCAGGAAAUGGAUUACGCAUUUUUUAACGUCAACGAAAAAGUAAAGAUAAUUGGCUAUCGAUGAGACGGAGCAAUAUCGAGGAAUAUCGACAAUGGAACGGCCACUUUUCACCGGGGCGACGAAAAUAAAUCGUGAAAUUAUCGCCUCUCGAUGAAACGUUGCAAUGGAUUCGCGUGUAUUUAUAUUACACGCUAUCCAAUACGCCAAGGCAGUAAGGUUUUUCCUCCGUUCUCCGGCAACCGGCAUCGCUAUUAACUCAUCACAUUUUUUACAAGGAGGCGCACGGUCACGCAGCCGCACCGGCUCUCGAACCCACUCGAUAUAACGCAGGAGAAGAGGAGAAGAAGCACAAAGAUCCAUGGGGCCCCGGCUACCCGGAACACGAUCAGGGAUCGCGAAGGUGUAAGCCGAGCCUCGAACGGAGAAACGGCGCAAAUCUCUUUGGAUGGACGGUUCGAAGACAGGGUGGACAGGAAUUCGCUUGGCGAGUGAAUAUUCACGAGUAUAUCCUGGUGACGAAAGACAAAGAGAUUUAAGGAUUUACGUCGAAAUUGAUCAUCGAUACGAAGAAACGGACGAGGAAGGAAGGAGGGAAUAAAGAGACCGGAAACACGUGAAAAACGAGUCGAUCAAUCUCUCUUGCAAAGACGUCUAGCCGAGUUUCAUCCGGCAGCGUCCAAGUGGAAGAAAGAAGGGCACAAGGUGGCUCGUCGAUAUCCGCGAAAAUAGUGGAGGGAGGGAGGGCGAAGAAGGAGAAGGAGAAAAGGAGGGACGAGGGGUGGAUUGGAGGAGGAAGAAGGAAGGACUGGCAAGGGGGUACGAUCGAAGUACGUCGGACAGCAAGGAGGCGCCGGUACUGCGCGCCACACCCCAAUGCAGCAACUCCAUUGAUUAUUGUUGCCGGUGCACUUCCUACCCCGCCUUGGCGAACGACAAGUAUGCCCUGAUUCCAGGUCCCAGGCAAGCGAGCGAGCGACGACGACGACGACGGCGGCGGUGGUGGCGGCAGUUGCAAGGUGUUUCGUACCGGCAACAUUCCAUGUUAGGAAAUUUGUAAGAGGCCGCUACAAAACAAUGCUAAUGCGCCUCCAAGUCCGUCUCCUCGAUCCUGCCUUUUCUUCGAUAUCCUCAGAUGCCGCCUGUAUCUCCGUGCAUCUAAUUUUGGUUAAAAAGGAUAUUGCAUUUGCUUGAAAAUUUGUCCAUCUCGGAUUCUUCCAUGUUUCUUACUUCGAUCAAAUUUCUUUCAGAAAUCAAUAUCACGAAUAAUCGUCCUAAUAAAUUUCAAAAUUCAUUUCUGAUGAUUCAUUUCUCCAUUGAUCCCAAAGGAUUAUAUACAUCGUACAUCGAGCAGAAGGGUGACAAAGGAAGCAAGGACGCAAAGGUAUCUAUCAGUUUUCCAUCAAAGUGGCGAGCGGAUAAGCGUGGAGCUCGAAUGCGGGUCACGUUGUGGGGUUGCAUGCAGGAAAAUAACGGAACCGGUGUCAAGUCUGGUGGCGGUGCAAAGCGAGUGGCGGCCGAAGGGGGAUAAAAAAAGAGGAAGAAAAAAGAGUGAGAGAGAACGGCAUGGCUGGAGCAAAGCGCGCGAACCUGGCACACGGCCGUCUCUAUUUCCCGUCGGAUUAAUCUCGAUAAUUAGAAAGCGUAUCACCCACUCGUUGCACGCGCCGUCGACUUGGAGCGUUUCACUUCAUUCGCCUCAUUCACCAAACUCGCGUUAUCCGCUCACUCGAGUUACACACCUCACUCACGGUAAACCUUCUCUCCCCUUCUCCGUCUCGGGACCAGCAGCCACCACCAUCGUCCCUCCAGUCAUUCACUUCACGUGCCACCUGCUCUCUGUGUGCCACGGAUCUUUCCUCCCUUUCUCCGUCUUCCUUUCUCUUCACACCUUCUCUUCCUGUACCGCCCGUGUAACCGCCCGGCAAGAGUAACCACGAGCGGCUGCAAGAUGUCAAGAAAAAGAGAUGUCGCUAUCGGGAAUCGAAGCGUAAUUCGAGAGAUCGCUGAAGAAGAACUCCUCAAGAGCAGGGAUUUCCAAGACACGACGUAUCCGCUUAGAACACACUUAGACUUUAUCCAAACAAGAUGUCUCUUCACUCGAGGUAGACUGUCGCACGCGCAGUCGCGAUUGCGCCCGUGGCGGGGCGUGGACAUAUUGCGUUGGAUACACCGUGUGUCGGAUAGAUAGCGCAGCAGGUGGACAACCUUGGAUCAGGACUCUGGCCCGCGCGCAUCUCAUUGACACCGAUAAACCAUCGCUUUUUCUUCUUUGUCGGCCCGCUUUUCUUCUUUCAGAAUCAGACCUGUGUUCGAUAAUUGCUUGUUAGCAUUAUAUUUAUACGGUUGGUAAACACAAAGUAUACCUCGGUGAACACCUGACCACGAAGAACACGUACAACAUUUUACAUUUUACGUUUUGUUCGUUGGCGAGGGGGAUACACCAUCGGUUAAUUUCUUUGUUACUAAUAAAUAAUUUUAUAAUACUUAAAGUGUACUCGCGAGUAAUGCAA
rnacentral:lncRNA from 1 species